AGAAAGAGUUGAGAGAAGGAGGAGCUAGAAAAAAGGGGUUUUAGAGAAAGAGAAGAAGAUGAACGAAGAGGAUGAAGAACAAGAGGAGAGGAGAGCUAGAGUUUGAAGAUAACCAUCAAAUUCUCCAUUUUUCAUGAGGUAAGGGAAGUUUUGUUCAUGGGUAGAGGUUGGUUGAUGAAGGGAGAGAAUGAAAUUCAUUCUCAUCUCCCAAGAUCCUUCAUCGCUCUUAUUGAUGCUUUAGAAUUCAUGUUUGAAUCCAUGUUAUCUUGUUGUGUUGUUUUGAGAAAAAUGAGUUUUUAUAUAAUUUAAUGAAUUAAUGAUGAUGAAUCUUGAUGAUUUGGUGUUGAUUGUUGAUGGAAUGAUGUUUGUUGAGGUUCAAAUAUCAUGAGUGUUGAUUAGUGAAGUCUUAGGACUAAUGGGAUUCAAAUUGGGUUUUUGGAAAAUCAAAGAUUGGAUUUUUAUAGUUUAAGAAAAACUGUUUUUGAUAAAGUCUGCAGCAAAAACGUGAAAAUUUGACCCCUUUGUGUUCUGAACUGGUUUUUGACGUCAACAUAAAAGUUGUAGCUCUUUCCCUUAGAUUUCCAACGCAUGUUUACGCGUUGAAAUCCGAUAUACGUAGCUCAACUUAUGGUCUGCGCGGUGAGCAGGUCAAAACCUGCAAAAUUCUGCAGGUGGAUGCUGUCUUUUGCGCCUCAUGCGCAAAGCUAGCGCAUCAUGCGCAAAUCACAGUCCUGCAACUCUGGUUUGCGUUGUUCUGUGAUGUUAGGUCUAUUUUGCCAAUCCCUUUUUAUCCCUAAUCUUUAUACUACUUAAUCAUAAUUAUUAGGUGAGUUUAGGAGAGUUUAAAUCACUACUUUUCAUGAUAAAACUUAGUGAUUAAUUAGGAGAAGUUGUUUUCGAAUUAAAACGAAUCUAGUAAAGAAUAAUUAAGAAUUUUGGGAAAUAUAGAGAAUGUAGUUGAGUGGAUUAGCUAAAUUAUUUUAUCUAAUCUUCGAAAAGAUAAUGGUGAUGAAUAUAUGAAUGAAACUAAAUUGAUGUGUUAGUUAAUGUAUUUAAUUGAUAAACUUUAUUUGUGAGUUUAUUGAUGAAGUGUUAUUGACGUGGAUUAUUGAUGAAUUCUAUUCGUGUACUAAAUGAUGAAUUUUAUUGGUGUAUGAAUUCUCUUGGUGUAUUAGUGAUGUGUUCGUGCGUAUGCACAAUGAAGGUGUUUUCAUGCUUAUGCACAAUGUCGAGGUGUGAUUGUUCAUGAAUAUAACUAGGAUGUUCAAUUUAUUGAUGAUGAUAAAUAAGGAUUUAUCAUGCGUAGGUGUAUUCUAAAGACGAUAAUUUAGAAUAUUUGGAUUAUGUUAUCCAUAUUAUGUUGAUGUUGUAGUUGAGAUAAAACCAUAUAUUUGGUAUAUGCACAUUCAUGCAUUCAUAAGUUGUGUUUAUUGAUGAGUAUUCUAGAGACGAUGAUCUAGUUUACUGUUGUUUUAGAGACGAUGAUGUAAAACAUUUGGAAUAAGUUUUCCAAAAUUAUGAUGAUGGGUACCACAUGCAUAUAGGCCGUAUUUAGGAAGACAUUGCAUACUUAAUUUCAAUAGAUGAAAUGUUGUAUGAUUGAUUUAAUUAAUUGAUUAGUGAUGUGUAAAUUGAGGUGUUGAUUAAAUGGUAUAAAUGUUGCAUGAAUUAUUAAUGUGAUAUAAUCAUGUUUAUACCUUGUUGUAUAUUUCCUUUUUUUUUUGCUCAUUACAUAAACUCACCCUGUUAUUUGUUAUUUGACUGGGCACUUGGGAACUCAAUUUCUCAG
rnacentral:lncRNA from 1 species